AGAGUUUGAUCCUGGCUCAGGACGAACGCUGGCGGCGUGGAUUAGGCAUGCAAGUCGAGCGGGUAAAUGAGGUCUUCGGACCGAAACCAAGCGGCGAACGGGUGAGUAACACGUGAGGAAUCUGCCCCUUCAUUCCGGAUAAUAGUUGGAAACGACUUGUAAUACGGGGGAGGCUCUACUUAAGGCAUCUUAGGUAGAACAAACGAGCAAUCGGUGUGGGGAUGAUCUCGCGGCUUAUCAGGUAGAUGGUGGGGUAACGGCCUACCAUGCCUACGACGAGUAGCUGGUCUGAGAGGAUGGUCAGCCACAUUGGAACUGAGACACUGUCCAGACUCCUACGGGAGGCUGCAGUCGAGAAUCUUGGUCAAUGCACGAAAGUGUGAACCAGCGACGCCGCGUGCAGGAUGAAGGCCCUCAGGGUCGUAAACUGCUUUUAUGGGGGAGAAAUAAAUGAUGUUACCCCAUGAAUAAGCCACGGCUAACUACGUGCCAGCAGCCGCGGUAAUACGUAGGUGGCAAGCGUUGUCCGGAUUUACUGGGCGUAAAGGGCAAGCAGGCGGACUGUUAAGUAGGAAGUGAAAGGUCGGAGCUCAACUCCAACAUUGCUUCCUAUACUGGCAGUCUUGAGUCUCGGAGAGGAAA
rnacentral:rRNA from 1 species